rnacentral:rRNA from 1 species
GACGUAGGGCGCGAGCGUUGUCCGGAUUUAUUGGGCGUAAAGAGCUCGUAGGCGGUCUGUCGCGUCGGAUGUGAAAAUCCAGGGCUCAACCCUGGACCUGCAUUCGAUACGGGCAGGCUAGAGUGGUGGUAGGGGAGAUCGGAAUUCCUGGUGUAGCGGUGAAAUGCGCAGAUAUCAGGAGGAACACCGGUGGCGAAGGCGGAUCUCUGGGCCAUUACUGACGUGAGGAGCGAAAGCGUGGGGAGCGAACAGG